rfam:Ornithorhynchus anatinus chromosome 6, whole genome shotgun sequence.
AGCAGCGUGGCUCAGUGGAAAGAGCCCGGGCUAGGGAGUCAGAGGUCAUGGGUUCAAAUCCUGUCUCUGCCA